rnacentral:misc_RNA from 1 species
GGGAGACUGGAGAGGGAUGGCCAUGAGCCCACCUCUUGCUCUCAUUUUAUUGCAAUUCCCAAGUUCCUUGUUUUUCAUCUUACAUUAUUAAGUCUCUCGUUUAAAGUAAAUUUAGAACUUAAUUUCAAAGUACAUUUUACUUUUUUUGCUACCUAAUUUUUCACAACCUCUUCUAUUUCCUAAACUUUUUGUAGAAAUCAGUCACUACUUCUCAGUUAUUACCAUCAAUGAUGGCUUAAUUACAUAUUUUACUCAUUUAGAAGUUUAAUGUUCUAUCCAGGGUUAUAUCGUCUUAAAUAGGCC